UGUGACGGCAUCCUCAGAUCAACAGGACUGAUGAAGGAACAUGAGCAGCUUCUUCUCUCAGUGUUUUGUAGACAUCUGAAGGUGGAAAGUGUCUCUAAGUGGAGCUGAAGUGAGUUCAGCAGGAUGCAGCAGCAGAGAUCAGAUUCUCCUGAACCCAGCUGUGUGUCCAUGAAGUCUGAUCACUCUAAGGGUCUUCUUAUUGUCUUUAAAGAUGGAGAACAUGCUGCUGGAAGGAUGUAGCAGCAGAGAUCAGAUUCUCCUGAACCCAGCUGUGUGUCCAUGAAGUCUGAUCACUCAAAGGGUUUUCUUGUUGAGUUUACAGAUGGACAACCUGCUGCUGGAAGGAAUGGAGCCCAAACUGAUCUCAACCCAACUGACAACUGUCGGGGAACCCUGAACAUCUUUACCAGUCCACCACUGACCACUAUGAAACAGCUCAACUCUAGUGGGCGAAGACAGAACCAUCCACACCCUAGAACCUUCUACAUGAAAGACUGAGAGUUGAUCAGAGUGAAAGCAGGAAAUACUGAUUCCUGUAAUCUCACAGUCGACAUGAACACAGUCAACAG
ensembl:lncRNA